CCGUGACGGGUCUAUCUCCAGUUCCCGACACACAAAACAGCGGUGUCUCAAAUGCUUCUUACUUCGCAGCACGCACGCACGCACGCACACACACACACACACACACACCAUGGAAAAAAACAAAAACUAAACCUCCCCAAGCCAGUCGCGACCUGGAUAGAAUUACGUAAUGUUGCAGCCAGUGCGGCUGUCAUUCAGCAGGGAGGGAUGGGGGUUGUGAGGGAGAGAGAAAGAGAAAAAUGGGAGGCGGGAAGGCAGAGAAGCAAGAAGUCAGACUGAUCUAUUAGAGCUAAUAAUUACAAUAAUAAAACUGUAAAGAUGCAGUCAUCACCCUAGAGGCAUCGGGUACAAUCGUAGCCCUCUCAAGGUCAGACGAGGGAGGGCCGCUCUUUAACGGUUACCUGCUCAGACUCCAGAUAAUGUGGGAAGUCUGAAGUCUACAAAUAAAGCAGCUGAAGCUGGGAGCUAAAGAAACUCUGGCUCUGGGAGGAGGGUCUGCUACAGCAGCCACGCCCCAAACUCUUGCCAUUGGCUGGAUGGCUAAUAUAUAUGUUGGCAGGCAGGUAAGACAUCCUAUCAAUGCAUAUGGACCGAAU